CCUACGGGGGGCAGCAGUCGAGAAUCAUUCACAAUGGGGGAAACCCUGAUGGUGCGACGCCGCGUGGGGGAAUGAAGGUCUUCGGAUUGUAAACCCCUGUCAUGUGGGAGCAAAUUAAAAAGAUAGUACCACAAGAGGAAGAGACGGCUAACUCUGUGCCAGCAGCCGCGGUAAUACAGAGGUCUCAAGCGUUGUUCGGAAUCACUGGGCGUAAAGCGUGCGUAGGCUGUUUCGUAAGUCGUGUGUGAAAGGCGCGGGCUCAACCCGCGGACGGCACAUGAUACUGCGAGACUAGAGUAAGGGAGGGGGAACCGGAAUUCUCGGUGUAGCAGUGAAAUGCGUAGAUAUCGAGAGGAACACUCGUGGCGAAGGCGGGUUCCUGGACAUUAACUGACGCUGAGGCACGAAGGCCAGGGGAGCGAAAGGGAUUAGACACCCUUGUAGUC
rnacentral:rRNA from 1 species